GCUGUGGGCUGAAGGACUUGCCAAAGAGACUUGUCAGAAAUGAAACAAAAAGAGAGCCUCUCCUUUAAUGGUUGCCAUGUAAACUGUGAGAUUUAGAAGACUGGAGUCCUUGAGAUCCACGGCCUUUAUUGGUUAAGACUGUGCAUUUUAGUCCCCUAAUGAAGGCAAGUGCUCAGCUCAUUCAGAGAGCAGCUGGCAGCCGUCCUUGAGUCGCCGUCCUUGGAGGCACUAGUCAGAGCCCACAAAGCAAGCCCUGAAAAGUGAGCAGAAGCUCACAAUUUCUCAGUAAUUGUGGUGCAGCAGUGACAACAUUUUCUUCUGUACGUGAAUGAAAGACCCACACCAGCCUCUGUCCAGGUCCUACUGCUUCUGCAGACAGAGCAUUUUCCAAAUCUGCCAACCUUUUC
rnacentral:lncRNA from 1 species